rnacentral:tRNA from 1 species
UUUGGUAGAGUUCUCCGGAAUAUGUGCGUUACAAGCACAAGGGUUUAUUUAUUUAAAUGCCAAAA